UACAGAGGUCCCGAGCGUUGUUCGGAUUCACUGGGCGUAAAGGGUGCGUAGGUGGCCUGUUAAGUUUGAUGUGAAAGCUCAGGGCUUAACCCUGAAAUGGCAUUGAAUACUAGCGUGCUGGAGGUUUGGAGGGGGGACUGGAAUUCUCGGUGUAGCAGUGAAAUGCGUAGAUAUCGAGAGGAACACCAGUGGCGAAGGCGAGUCCCUGGACAACACCUGACACUGAGGCACGAAAGCAUGGGGAGCAAACAGG
rnacentral:rRNA from 1 species